GGUGGCACAGUGGUUAAGCACUCAGCUGUCAACUGAAAGGUCGGUGGUUCAAAUCCAUCAGCCA
rnacentral:tRNA from 1 species